GUUUUGCAAUUUUUUAUUACAGUAAACAGAAUAAAAGUGGACGGAAGAGUAGUAACAUAAAAUUAAAUUUCCAUUAAAGCACUGUCGUAAACAGAAGACUUCAAUACCAUUGGUAGAGACUUGCUAACAGAAAUGCUAGCACAAAAUUAUGCCUAACGAAGAAGAAGAAGAGUACACAAAGCACAACACAGGAAACUAAUUCAAAGAACAACAGCAAGUCCUUCCUUCUUUGGAGGUACUAUGGACUUCUUAUUCCCAGGGAAAGCGCUGCGAGAGACAUCCACGAGGGCCUUGAAGCUGUAUGGUUCGUGCAUCGACAGUUCUGACAAGACUUUCCUGUUCAGCUGUACGUUCUCCUUCAUCAACCCGUGCAUGAAAUUGCCAUAAUUCACCCCGUGUUGACGAGUUCCGGCAUUGAUGCGUUGAAUCCAGAGAGAACGCAUAUCCCUCUUCUUGUUGCGGCGGUCUCUGUAUGAGUACUGAAGCGCCUUCUCAACUCUUUCUCUUGCUAUUCUUAUGCAAUUUUUAGCUCUUCCUCGAAACCCUUUAGCUAGCUUAAACACUUCCUUCUUGUUCAUCUUCUUGUGCCUUCUUCUCUGCUUCUCACUACCCCCUACCCCGCACCCCUUAAUACCCACCUCCUCUCUCUUGCUCUUGCGUAUUCCAAUUUUUUUGUGUUUUGCAAAAAGUCCGCCAUUUUUUUCUUUCUAGGGUUAGGGUUUUACUUUUAACCAUGUUUUGUUUUUUGAGAAGUUUGGAGAUUGUAGAAUGGUAAAGGUAUUCCUUUUUUCUGUUCAGGAGUUGUUCAGUUUAAUUGUCAUCGUUCAGUUCUGCAGGUCAACUAUGUGCUGAAUCUCCUCUGGAAUUGAUUCAGGGUACUGAGGAAAACCUGCAGAUCACUACUCCCCUGCUUCAGAACUCUCAAGCUAUGUAUAAUGAAGGAGCCCCUGAGUUUGUUGUUGAUCAGGGAUUAUAUUAUCCACCUGCCACCAAUUAUGGUUAUUUCUGUACAGGAUUAGAAUCACCUGGUGAUUGGGAUGGCCACCAAGGAUUUUUUGGUCUGGAUGGUCAGGAUAUUCAGUAUAUGGAUGCUCAAACUGAAAGUUUCCCGUAUGUAUAUUAUACACCUAACUAUGGAUGUGCACAGUCUUCAUAUAACCCAUACAACCCUUACAUUCCUGGUGCCGUAGUAGGAGCUGAUGGUCCAUGUGCAGGGCCACAACAUUACUACACAAUUCCCCCUUACGAAAACUUGGGAUCAUCUUCGUACUUCCCGAUG
rnacentral:misc_RNA from 1 species